ACUAACUUAUUUAAACCACACACAUACAUCGACACAUAGGUCGGGGUGCCUAAAGCGUAAGCUAAGGGUCGAACUAUGGGAUGUAUGGAGGCAUAAC
rnacentral:sRNA from 1 species